CCCAAAAACUAUAAUUUUAUAUUAAACUUAAAUUGUAUAUUAUGGCAAAUAUACAACAAGUUAGUUCGAUAACUGAAGAUGGGGACAAAUCAAGUUCCUCGGAUAAUAACCCCACAUUUUUAGUCAAAGAAAGACUACAACAUUGGAAGAUUGAACAAAAUUAACGAAAACUUGGGUCAUCAAAAUAUUAGGUAAGUUAGAAUCAAAUAUGAUUUUAUUUUCAAAUAAGAUGACAUUUUUAUUGAUGAAAUUAUAAAGGUAGUAUGUUUU
rnacentral:lncRNA from 1 species